GACGAACGCUGGCGGCGUGCCUAAUACAUGCAAGUAGAACGCUGAAGAGAGGAGCUUGCUCUUCUUGGAUGAGUUGCGAACGGGUGAGUAACGCGUAGGUAACCUGCCUGGUAGCGGGGGAUAACUAUUGGAAACGAUAGCUAAUACCGCAUGAUAUUAAUUGUCGCAUGAUAAUUAAUUGAAAGAUGCAAUUGCAUCACUACCAGAUGGACCUGCGUUGUAUUAGCUAGUUGGUGAGGUAACGGCUCACCAAGGCGACGAUACAUAGCCGACCUGAGAGGGUGAUCGGCCACACUGGGACUGAGACACGGCCCAGACUCCUACGGGAGGCAGCAGUAGGGAAUCUUCGGCAAUGGGGGGAACCCUGACCGAGCAACGCCGCGUGAGUGAAGAAGGUUUUCGGAUCGUAAAGCUCUGUUGUAAGAGAAGAACGGGUGUGAGAGUGGAAAGUUCACACUGAGAC
rnacentral:rRNA from 1 species